rnacentral:rRNA from 1 species
CCUACGGGUGGCAGCAGUGGGGAAUAUUGGACAAUGGGCGAAAGCCUGAUCCAGCCAUGCCGCGUGUGUGAAGAAGGCCUUCGGGUUGUAAAGCACUUUCAGUGGGGAAGAAAGCCUUGGGGCUAAUACCCUCGAGGAAGGACAUCACCCACAGAAGAAGCACCGGCUAACUCCGGCCAGCAGCCGCGGUAAUACGGAGGGUGCGAGCGUUAAUCGGAAUUACUGGGCGUAAAGCGCGCGUAGGCGGUCUGAUAAGCCGGUUGUGAAAGCCCCGGGCUCAACCUGGGAACGGCAUCCGGAACUGUCAGGCUAGAGUGCAGGAGAGGAAGGUAGAAUUCACGGUGUAGCGGUGAAAUGCGUAGAGAUCGGGAGGAAUACCAGUGGCGAAGGCGGCCUUCUGGACUGACACUGACGCUGAGGUGCGAAAGCGUGGGUAGCAAACAGGAUUAGAUACCCGGGUAGUC